AGAUUUGAUCAUGGCUCAGAAUCAACGCUGGCGGCGCGCUUAACACAUGCAAGUCGAACGAGAAAGUGGAGCAAUCCAUGAGUAAAGUGGCGUACGGGUGAGUAACACGUGGGUAAUCUACCUUUUGGUGGGGAAUAACCCUGGGAAACCGGGGCUAAUACCGCAUAAUCUCGCGAGAGGAAAGGAGCAAUUCGCCGAAAGAGGAGCCCGCGGCUGAUUAGCUAGUUGGUGAGGUAAUGGCUCACCAAGGCUUUGAUCGGUAGCCGGCCUGAGAGGGCACACGGCCACACUGGCACUGAAACACGGGCCAGACUCCUACGGGAGGCAGCAGUGGGGAAUCUUGCACAAUGGGGGAAACCCUGAUGCAGCGACGCCGCGUGAGUGAUGAAGUCCUUCGGGGUGUAAAGCUCUUUCGGCAGGGACGAUAAUGACGGUACCUGAAGAAGAAGCUGCGGCUAACUACGUGCCAGCAGCCGCGGUAAUACGUAGGCAGCGAGCGUUGUUCGGAGUUACUGGGCGUAAAGAGUGCGUAGGCGGUUUUCUAAAGUUUGGUGUGAAAAUCUCCCGGCUUAACUGGGGAGGGUGCGCCGAAGACUGGAAGGCCUUGAGUAUGGGAGAGGUAAGCGGAAUUCCUGGUGUAGCGGUGAAAUUGCGUACAUAUCAGGAGGAACACCUUGCCGGUGUCAAACGGCUUACUGGA
rnacentral:rRNA from 1 species